rnacentral:rRNA from 1 species
UACGUAGGGGCCGAGCGUUGUCCGGAGUUACUGGGCGUAAAGCGCGCGCAGGCGGCCAUCUAAGCCCGGCGUGAAAGCCCCCGGCUCAACCGGGGAGGGUCGUCGGGGACUGGGUGGCUUGAGGACGGCAGGGGCUGGUGGAAUCCCCGGUGUAGUGGUGAAAUGCGUAGAGAUCGGGGGGAACACCCGGUGGCGAAGGCGGCCAGCUGGGCCGUUCCUGGACGCUGAGGCGCGAAGGCGUGGGGAGCGAACGGG